rnacentral:rRNA from 1 species
UACCAGCACCCCGAGUGGUCGGGACGUUUAUUGGGCCUAAAGCAUCCGUAGCCGGUUCUACAAGUCUUCCGUUAAAUCCACCUGCUUAACAGAUGGGCUGCGGAAGAUACUAUGGAGCUAGGAGGCGGGAGAGGCAAGCGGUACUCGAUGGGUAGGGGUAAAAUCCGUUGAUCCAUUGAAGACCACCAGUGGCGAAGGCGGCUUGCCAGAACGCGCUCGACGGUGAGGGAUGAAAGCUGGGGGGGCAAACCGG